rnacentral:rRNA from 1 species
UACGAAGGGUGCAAGCGUUAUUCGGAUUGAUUGGGCGUAAAGGGUGCGCAGGCGGUUCUGCAAGUCAGGCGUGAAAGCCCCGGGCUUAACCUGGGAAUGGCGCUUGAAACUACAGGACUGGAGUAUGGCAGAGGGAGGUGGAAUUCCACGUGUAGCGGUGAAAUGCGUAGAGAUGUGGAGGAACACCGAUGGCGAAGGCAGCCUCCUGGGCCAAUACUGACGCUCAUGCACGAAAGCGUGGGGAGCAAACAGG